rnacentral:rRNA from 1 species
GCGUUAUCCGGAUUCACUGGGUUUAAAGGGUGCGUAGGUGGGUUGGUAAGUCAGUGGUGAAAUCUCCAGGCUUAACUUGGAAACUGCCAUUGAUACUAUCAAUCUUGAAUACCGUGGAGGUCAGCGGAAUAUGUCAUGUAGCGGUGAAAUGCUUAGAUAUGACAUAGAACACCAAUUGCGAAGGCAGCUGGCUACACGAAUAUUGACACUGAUGCACGAAAGCGUGGGGAUCAAACAGG